GACGAACGCUGGCGGCGUGCUUAACGCAUGCAAGUCGAACGGUGAUGCUCCAGCUUGCUGGAGUGGAUCAGUGGCGAACGGGUGAGUAACACGUGAGCAACCUGCCCCAGACUCUGGAAUAAGCGCUGGAAACGGCGUCUAAUACUGGAUACGAAACUGGCCCGCAUGGGCAUGGUUUGGAAAGUUUUUCGGUUUGGGAUGGGCUCGCGGCCUAUCAGCUUGUUGGUGAGGUAAUGGCUCACCAAGGCGACGACGGGUAGCCGGCCUGAGAGGGCGACCGGCCACACUGGGACUGAGACACGGCCCAGACUCCUACGGGAGGCAGCAGUGGGGAAUAUUGCACAAUGGGCGAAAGCCUGAUGCAGCGACGCCGCGUGAGGGAUGACGGCCUUCGGGUUGUAAACCUCUUUCAGCAGGGAAGAAGCGAAAGUGACGGUACCUGCAGAAGAAGCACCGGCUAACUACGUG
rnacentral:rRNA from 1 species